rnacentral:rRNA from 1 species
GGGACAACCGCUGGAAACGGCGGCUAAUACCGGGUACUCCGGGAGGGCCCCAUGGCCCUGCCGGGAAAGCCGAGACGGCGCGGGAUGGGGUCGCGGCCCAUUAGGUAGACGGCGGGGUAACGGCCCACCGUGCCCGCGAUGGGUAGCCGGACUGAGAGGUCGACCGGCCACAUUGGGACUGAGAUACGGCCCAGACUCCUACGGGAGGCAGCAGUGGGGAAUUUUGCGCAAUGGGGGAAACCCUGACGCAGCAACGCCGCGUGCGGGACGAAGGCCCUCGGGUUGUAAACCGCUUUCAGCAGGGAAGACUUUACGACGGUACCUGCAGAAGAAGCUCCGGCUAACUACGUGCCAGCAGCCGCGGUAAUACGUAGGGGCGAGCGUUAUCCGGAUUCAUUGGGCGUAAAGCGCGCGUAGGCGGCCGCCUAAGCGGGACCUCUAACCCCGGGGCUCAACCCCGGGCCGGGUCCCGGACUGGGCGGCUCGAGUGCGGUAGAGGAGAGCGGAAUUCCCGGUGUAGCGGUGGAAUGCGCAGAUAUCGGGAAGAACACCGAUGGCGAAGGCAGCCCUCUGGGCCGUCACUGACGCUGAGGCGCGAAAGCUGGGGGAGCGAACAGGAUUAGAUACCCUGGUAGUCCCAGCCGUAAACGAUGGACGGUAGGUGUGGG